AUUGAACGCUGGCGGCAGGCUUAACACAUGCAAGUCGAACGAGUGGCGGACGGGUGAGUAAUGCCUGGGAAACUGGCUGAUGGAGGGGGAUAACUACGGGAAACUGUAGCUAAUACCGCAUACCAUAGGAUGAGCCCAAGUGGGAUUAGGUAGUUGGUGAGGUAAAGGCUCACCAAGCCGACGAUCCCUAGCUGGUCUGAGAGGAUGACCAGCCACACUGGGACUGAGACACGGUCCAGACUCCUACGGGAGGCAGCAGUGGGGAAUAUUGCGCAAUGGGCGCAACCCUGACACAGCCAUGCCGCGUGUAUGAAGAAGGCCUUCGGGUUGUAAAGUUCUUUCGGCAGGGAGGCGUUACCCGCAGAAGAAGCACCGGCUAACUCCGUGCCAGCAGCCGCGGUAAUUC
rnacentral:rRNA from 1 species